GUGGCUUUGAGGAUUCCAGGCUCUGUUACACUGAACAUCUGGUCCUGUCCUUCUCCCUGGGGCUUUUGAAGUCAUGAGAAGAUUCCGACUACCAAUCAUCUCACCGAUGGACAAAUAAUAGGCUACACAUGUGGAGAGGAGAUUCGUGGUACAGCAGAGCUCUGCAUGACCUCCAAGAAGAAGGACCAAGUCUAGAGCUGUGAUGUAGCAUGUCUUCUUGACCCCUGCAUUUUUAGAAAUGGAUUUCCAGUGAGAGGACUCUUUAGGACAUAGUGUCUUAUCAAGACCUAGGAAGAUGACACCACAAGAUUGUGAAGUGGAACAAUU